rnacentral:sRNA from 1 species
UAAAGGCAGGAGCCCCCGUUCCCCAUGA